CUGCUUCAGCAGCACGUGUACUAACAUUGGAACAAUACAGAGAAGAUCAGCAUGGCCCCUAUAUAAGGAUGACACACACAUUCCUGAAGCGUUCCAUAUUUUG
ensembl:snRNA U6 U6 spliceosomal RNA